ensembl:lncRNA
CUCAGAUUUCACCCCAAAAGUUCCGUUCACUAUAGGUUAUCAAUAUACGUUACUAAUCAAUACAAAUUAUUAUUUUCCUCGAAUAUCUCCGUCACGAAAUAGUUUCUCCCUCCACGCCCAUCAUUCUGUCCCUCAGAAUUCACUUCAGAUUUUACCUAAAACCAGCCCCUCGGCUCUCCCUCACCUUUCCCCCUCACAAGCUACUCUGUCCCGGCGGAACUGCCUCAACUUUUCCCUCAGCAGCUCCAGCGAAACACUCUGCUGCUUUCUGAGGCGGCUGACCAACACUCCCUCCCUCUGCAACAUCGCCUAAUUUGCCCCAGUGCCACUGCAACACCUUUUCUCGAGCCGCCCGGAUCAUUUUUCUCUUGCGCCGCCCUCACGAAUCGCGCCGCUGACGGCUCUGAGGGCUCUGAGGGCAACGGCGGGAAAAGCCGCGGGCAGCGGCACAGCCCCGCCCCGUCUCGUCUCCCUCAGGGCACCCCCAUGGCCCCUCAGUGACCGCCCGGCACUGUAGCGGCGCUCCAGGCACUGUCUCUGCCUCAGUGUCCCUCCCUGCCGUCAGUCAAACUCGUGGCACCUUCCUCAGUGAUGCUCGGGCACCGGCUUUCCUCCAUGGCACCCCACGGAAACUCAAGGCAGAAUCAGCUCCAAGCCCUCCACCAGUGGGACAGCCCUCCUGCUAACCUGCCUGGAAGCAGCUGGCUGGGCCCCACUUUCUGUCCAGAGCUGGGCUACCUGACACAGCCCUUGGAAUGGGGAGUUAGGAAUCUGCAGCCCCCUUCAGCUCCUACCUCACCCCUUAUGUAAAACCUGAGGGAGCCAGAGUACAGGUGAGGAGUCUAAGCUGGCAGAGGCUGAACUCCCAAAGCUGGCAGGGCAGACAUGAUGAGAAGCUGACUUGGGAUCUGAACUUGACCUUACAGGCACUUCUGGUCAGUGGGAGACCACAGGUCAUUGGGAGAAGACCCUGCCUCUGCUGUCCUUCUCCUCUCUGUGGCCCUGCAUGUUCCCCAAGCUGAGCUGCAUGUGGGAGGAUUCCAGGCUUGUUCGUUAAUGGGAGUGGAGAGACUUUUGCUUCGAUUAAUUAAUUUGCUGCUCUUCCCCAUUUUCAGGACCAUCUUUUAUUCAUGGCCAAGUAGCUCAGACACCGCUGCUUGCUGCCUGUUCAGGAUGCUGGCAUUAAUAUUUCAUUCCAGAGCCUGCUCGUGCUGAACAGAGCUCAUGUCCCGCGUUCUGCCGCUUCCCGAUGAUCUCCUGCCCUGGCCCAGCUCACAUUCCCCCCCUCCAGCCCCAGGCUGGGUCUCCCUGUCUCUUCACCAGUCACACGGCUUCUCCUAGGAUCAUAUUCCCUGGGAAUUAAAUGUGGCACACUUGGAGCUGGGGCUUGGAGCUCACUGCCUUUGUCUCCUGUGGCUCUGGGCAAUCAGCCCUGCACAGAGGGUGUCAUGCUCACUGUGGGAAUAAUGAGUUCUGCGAGUGACUUGUGAUAUCAAGCUGCAGGGAGAGGGGAGUGACUCUCACCCUGCUGUCCCCUCCCAGGAAAGCAGGAUAUAUAUUUCAGUUGCCAGAGGAGCAGUGUGCUGCUGUGCCUGCAACCUGGGAGAAAAGAAGGCUGCUGAAGGGGAGAACCCCAGCUGUACCUUUCAGGGCAGCAGCAGAAAUGAGGAAAUGACACUCUCCUGCUCCUUCACCUCUCUCCUGGCUCCUGUGCAUGCACUCUCCAGCAUUCCUCCAUUCUGCAGAGCUCCAAGGCCAGGAGCAGCCUUUGCUUGCAGCUCUGCAGCCCCAGCAAGGCACUGUGUCUGAACGAGGGCAGGCCACAGUGCAGCUGUUUGGAGUGGCACUUCAUUUACUGAAUGGCAGCUCCGUAAUCCUCUUCAAAUAAAAAGACUGUGGAGUCUCUGUACUGGGAGCUG